rnacentral:rRNA from 1 species
GACGAACGCUGGCGGCGUGCCUAAUACAUGCAAGUAGAACGCACAGUUUAUACCGUAGCUUGCUACACCAUAGACUGUGAGUUGCGAACGGGUGAGUAACGCGUAGGUAACCUGCCUGGUAGCGGGGGAUAACUAUUGGAAACGAUAGCUAAUACCGCAUAAUAUUAAUUAUUGCAUGAUAAUUGAUUGAAAGAUGCAACUGCAUCACUACCAGAUGGACCUGCGUUGUAUUAGCUAGUAGGUGAGGUAACGGCUCACCUAGGCGACGAUACAUAGCCGACCUGAGAGGGUGAUCGGCCCAACUGGGACUGAGACACGGCCCAGACUCCUACGGGAGGCAGCAGUAGGGAAUCUUCGGCAAUGGACGAAAGUCUGACCGAGCAACGCCGCGGGAGUGAAGAAGGUUUUCGGAUCGUAAAGCUCGGUUGUAAGAGAAGAACGGGUGUGAGAGUGGAAAGUUCACACUGUGACGGUAUCUUACCAGAAAGGGACGGCUAACUACGUG